rnacentral:rRNA from 1 species
GUCCUGACCUCGAUCAAGCGUGAUUACCCGCUGAACUUAA